rnacentral:lncRNA from 1 species
ACAUCUCCACCAUCAAAAUCGGAAAAUUCCUAACCAAGAUCAAGGGUCCUCAAUAACUCUCAGCCCAAACCCGAAUUCAAGGCUGGAAAUGCCUAGAACUCAAAAACUAACACCUUCUUGGUGAAACCAACACCACCAAUGUCUCUAAAACAUAUUUUUAUCCUAAGAUCAACUAUUCACAGGCCCAAAUCUGAGUUCUAAAUCAUAAGAAUCAAUUAAUUUGUUAAUUUAGUUGUAAAUUU